rnacentral:lncRNA from 1 species
UCCUCAUUAACUAUAUCCAUACACCAUCUCUCUCAAUUCUUCUGAACGGUCUUUUUUUUUUUAUAUAUAAUUACCCCACAAUCUCUAUAACUUCCUCCAAUUCCGAUUUUUAUUUCCACAAACAAUCUCUCUCAAUUCUUUUCAAUAUCCAUAACUUUCUCCGAUUUUUUUUUAAUUACUCCUCAAUUCUUAUUCAACACUGUGAUCUCUGACAAUUCUUUUCAAUAUCCAUCAACUUCCUCCGAUUUUAUUUCCCCACACGAUAUCUUUCACUGCAAUCCAAUUUUCACACUCUAAUGGCUAUGAUGACUAAUAGGAUUAAUUUUAUUUAUACAUUUUCUCCAAUCUUAAAUUAUAUGGAUACUUGCCUUCUGCCAACCUCAAAUUACAAAGAUACUUGUUUAAAUGUGUCUGUGACGCCCAACUUUUUAAAAGAUCAUCUAUUCUAGAACUAUUGUAGCUCUAUCACGCUCAACUCCUAUUAACCUUGUAGGCUUAACCACCAUCCAAAAUAGUAUAGCCGGAUUAAGAGUGUCACAUUUUUUUCUCUUUAAAUUCUAAUGUUCUCAUCAAAUCUAAGCACACUCACAAGUACCAAAUAGUGUAAGAUUCAUUGUCAUUCAGAUUCUAACUUAACAUGUCAUUUUCAGACCCUAACUUUAACUUGUGAUUUAGAUCUGACUAAAUCGAGAUUCAUCUCACAUUUUCGACUAGUGAUUAGCUCUAAUAUCUAUACUCUUAUAUGAAUUCCCAAUAUGAAAUGAUGACGUGGCAAACUCUCAUUUUUUUAAUUUACGUUUCAUCUCCACUUCUAAAUACUCAACCCUUCACCUCUCCACAUUUAAUUAUAUUCAUCAUAUUCCACCAAUUAGUGAGCUUAAUUUGUAACUCCAAUCCACUCCCCUCCACCAUCAAUCCCCCCACCCCCUCUUUUGCAUGAUAUGUUAUUAUCCCCAAUAUGAAAUAAUGACUUGGCAAGCUCUCUUUUUUUUAAUUUACGUUUCAUCUCCACUUCUAAAUGCUCAACCCUUCACCUCUCCACAUUUAAUUACAUGCUUCAUAUUCAACCAAUUAGUGAGCUUAAUUUGUAACUCCAAUCCACUCCCCUCCACCAUUAAUCCCCCCACCUUCUCUUUUUUGCAUGACAUGUUAUUUUUCAUGCAAAAAAGAAGAUUAUCAUCUAAUCUCUCACCUCACACUCAUCUCAUUCUCUCUAUCUCAUUGUGUUAACAAAGAUUAUGAGGAUAAUGAAGAAGAAGAUUA